rnacentral:rRNA from 1 species
CCUACGGGAGGCAGCAGUGAGGAAUAUUGGUCAAUGGACGAGAGUCUGAACCAGCCAAGUAGCGUGAAGGAUGACUGCCCUAUGGGUUGUAAACUUCUUUUAUAUGGGAAUAAAACGUUCCACGUGUGGGAUUUUGUAUGUACCAUAUGAAUAAGGAUCGGCUAACUCCGUGCCAGCAGCCGCGGUAAUACGGAGGAUCCGAGCGUUAUCCGGAUUUAUUGGGUUUAAAGGGAGCGUAGGUGGAUUGUUAAGUCAGUUGUGAAAGUUUGCGGCUCAACCGUAAAAUUGCAGUUGAAACUGGCAGUCUUGAGUACAGUAGAGGUGGGCGGAAUCCGUGGUGUAGCGGUGAAAUGCUUAGAUAUCACGAAGAACUCCGAUUGCGAAGGCAGUUCACUGGACUGCAACUGACACUGAGGCUCGAAAGUGUGGGUAUCAAACAGGAUUAGAUACCCCAGUAGUC